ensembl:lncRNA
ACCAGAGAGAACAGAGCCACCCAGGACCACGCUAGACCAGACCAGACCAGUAGAGACCAGAGCCACCAGGACCACGCUAGACCAGACCAGACCAGACCAACCCAGACCAGACCAGUAGACCAGUAGAGACCAGAGCCACCAGGACCAGACGCUAGACCAGACCAGACCAGACCAGUAGAGACCAGAGCCAACCCAGGACCACGCUAGAGACCAGACCAGACCAGUAGAGACCAGACCAGACCACGCUAGACUAGACCAGACCAGUAGAGACCAGAGCCACCAGACCAGUAGAGACCAGACCAGUAGAGAACAGAGCCACCGGGACCACGCUAGACCAGACCAGACCAGUAGAGACCAGACCAGUAGAGACCAGACCAGAGACAACCAGACCAGACCAGUAGAGACCAGCCACAGGCAGACCAGA